rnacentral:lncRNA from 1 species
AUGUUUCAGAGGUUCACUUUGACUGGCUAAAGAAUGACUUGAAUUUAAAGCGAUGUAGAAUAUCGUCCUAUGCAGAAUGGUAUGUUAUUAAAGCCAUGCACCGUACACAUAUAUAUAUAUAUAUAACGAACAACGGAAAACGAAAUAACACGUGUGUUUAAUCAUGGAAUGCAAAUAGCCAAUUUUAUAAUAAUUUUUGUCUGACAGCUAGAUAUUUGGUGAUUUUAAAACUGAAUUUAAAAUAUGUUUUCAUUCAAACGUUUUCAAUAUCAUCAAAAUCGAAUUAAUACACUAUAAAAAGAAAAAUGAUAUGUUUCUUUGCUUUUCAUGCAUAGAUAUAAUAUAAAAUUUACGGUUUUGAUUUAUCUUUCUUUCCAAAACACAAUAAAGCAAAAUGCAAAGACGUGAGUUUUAAAGUGAUAAAAAAAAAUUCAAAAGGAGGCUGCACAAAGGGUUGCAUUUACAUUAGUAAUAACUAUAUAUUACUAUAUUAAAAUAACAUUCUUAAAUUGCAUCCCAUAGGAUAACAAUAACGAAAAUGAAUUGUUGGUUGAAUAUUAGAAAUAAGAAGAAUCUUCCUAUUAUCAAGUCCUUGAAUUGUUCGAUAUUGUUACUUUUAAACAAAAGAAAAUUGGUAUCCUAUUGUUAAUUAAUAUACUACAUAAAUUGAAAUUGAAACAAUUAUCCACAAUUUACAUCUAUGUAAAAAUAUACAUAUAAUAAAUAGAAAACACCUACCCGGGUCAUAUAACCUCAUGAUUAUUCCAGCAAAAACAUAGAUUCGUUUGUUAUAAAAAAAAAGAAGAAACUUUUUUUCUUAAUUCAUCAAAAUGCAUCCUGCAUAUGACUAAAAUAAAAGAUUACAAUUGUAUUUUUAACCUUAUUCGCGGAAAGUCCGGUAUUGUUUACGCAGAAUUGUUUUCUUAAGGAUCGACACGCUUUUCUGAAAAUUCUAACGGUUUGUCACGUGGUGCAAUAUUCAAAGAUAGCACUAAUUCACAAUAACCAGGAUGUAAAAUAAUCUCACAGAAUGAAACAUGUGAAAGCGGAUAUCUAUUUUUUGGAAAUCAUGUUAAACGCUCAGUAUAAUAAUGGAAGUAAUACACGCAUAGAGACGUUUUCCUUUUAUGAAAUCAAUAACAUGCAGGUUCAAAUUACAUUUCCGAUAAAUAUCAUUAAUCUACGUAUAUAUAAUUACCUUAGAACAGAAAACUUAGUAGUCGGAUAGAAAGGAUACAAAAAGUACAUUUUAUACAAGGAAAAUGUAGAGCAAUAAAAAAAACAGCGUUAAUAUUGUUGUUCUAUAUUUUAAGAAUAGUCAUAUACAAUAGAUAAAUGUUAAAAUUAAUUCCUUGGUACACUUGAGUUUUUUUUUAAAUCAUGCAUAAUCAAACGGACACUUUGAUCAUAAAAUGUACGUCGUCAAUUAAAUAAACCAAAACAUAAAACCUUCUUACAAUUAAAAAUCUCAAAGAAAGUUAUAUAAUACAAAUUAGAAUUUGCAGUUGUAAGUAAUAUUUUACUCACACAAAGAUAAUCACAGCUUCGUUUUGCGAGUUGCGUCAAAACAGUAGAACUUUGCGAUCUCGGCUGUAAAACAAUUUUGACCAUUAGUUUGAUGUAGUGGAAAGAUCUCUCGAAGGAAAUCAGCUAUGGUACAUAUUAUGAAGGCUGGAUACAUAAAAAAUGAAUAAUUUUCUACAUUAUAUACAAUUGUUAUUAAUUAUUACAGAAAAUUGCGCCUGCAGUACAAAAUCGAUUAUGCCUAAAUUAGUUCACAUAAUAAUAAUGAUGAGCUUAUUGGUUUUUAAAAUAUUUACAAUUGUUAUAUAAUUUUGUUUAUAAAAUAACAUUUACUAUCUAUUAGUAGGUUUGUGUCUAGGAAUGAAGCAGGUGAUUUUAUUUCAGUAGUGUCCUUAUGCCCGACCUUAUUAAAAUAUAUGAUGUAUAGAUAAUGGGUAAAGCAAUUUUUAUUUUAUUAUGAAUAUAAGGGAAGACUAACAAAUAUCUAAAUAUAACAAACGACGAACAACAAUCUUAAAUAUACUACAUAAAAAGCUUACAAUAGGCGGCACGAACCCUACGAAAAACCAGGGGUGAUAUAUUGUACUACGAAAUGGUUAUAUUCGGUUAUGUCACGAAAAAAAACCGUUUAGAUUUUGCAUAAGUCGCGUAAAAAUUGCAUUCACAAUAACUGUUCGUUUCAAUAUAUUUCUUUUUUCGCUUUCCUCGAAAAAAAUGAAAUACUAUUAUAUAUAUUUAAGAAAUCAAGUAUACAUCGUUUAACGGCAAAAAAUGUCUCUGCUCUCAAAUGAAGCCAAAAUAUUUGAACAUCUAAAACUAUAUGGAGAAAAGUCAAAAGUGAAGCCAAAGUCAGAAAAGGAAGCGUAGCUUUACACGCAUGAUAAACAUUCCAGAAUUUCAAACGAUUUCCAAAAUUUUAUAAAACAGAACCGAAAGAUUCCAAAUGGACAGUUAAUUUCAAUUAAUCAAUAUCUGUAUUUGUAAGCCGAUACAGAUAUACUAGCUUCUGGAAUGGAGAUACCAUCGAUGACUAUGAAGAUUGAAUGGAACACACUUAGAUAUUAAAAAGAAAUAGAUCAGUAUACAUCGUAAUACGUUUUACAUCUCUAAAGGGUAUUAAGGAAAACAACUAAGUGAAUCUAUUGAUUUACUAAAGAUAGUUUUUACUUACAAAUAUUGUAAUCGAGAAGAAAAAUUAAGGGAUGUCUCUCCAAUUCAACUUCUGUUACCUUAAUCUAAGUUUAUAUUUUUUUCAGAUUUUGAAGAGUUACAAAAGCUUAAAAAGAAAAAGAAAAAAGAAGAAAUGAAUCACUACAAUUGAGGUAAGAAACACAUCAAAAACAUUAUCUAAC